CUUCAAGCUGACAAUUGCUUUGGUUUCAGCAGCGUCCGUGGAACGGUUCGUCGGACCUCCUGCUGAUUGGGAGUCGCGGGAACGCUCUUACUUUGACGUACGGCAGUCGAGUUUGUGUAGCUGUCAAGAUGGAGUUUGCUGGAUUACAUGGAAUAUCUUAAAACGUUCCACAGUAACACAUCAUUGAAAAUCAAGGACACAAGGGGCAUGAAAUGGAAACACAGACAGAGAGACAAACAGACGGGACCACUGUGAAAGUCUUUCAGUAACAGCUGAAAGCUGCCUUCCGCCUUGCACAUAGAUAAACAAGUGGCUGUUCAUUCAUCUUUGAAACAGGAUAACGUAUAAAUACUUUUAGAGGGAUCACUGUGCUAACUAAGAAAAUCAAGUGGAUUUGCGGAAAUAUAGUCUCUCUGCAGAAGUGAAAGAAGACUGAAAGCGAUUUGUACCAAGGAAACGAUUUAUAAUGGAAUAUAAACUGCUUAAGUUCAAAUGAUGGGCAGAGGGUUACAACCAGAAGCAUGCAAGGCAUGUUUUACAAAAAUUGAGUGGAAGUGAAAGAAGAGUGCUUUAGAAACCCACAUUUAUUUGGUAAGAACUUACAUUAUAAACCAGGUUUGUGCAGCAGUGACCAUCUUGGCUGGAAUUCGGAAGGUAGGAAGUUUAAGUUAAGAUGGAAUAUCAGCUAUCCUUAUGGUUGUGUCGUGGGUUUCCUCAGUGGCAAGAGAAGAAUUUAUGGAGAUUUCCUUGAAACGGCUGAACUCCUCUUUCAAAAGCCUUACAACUGACUAUUCAUGACCAUCUUCUCAUUUCAUUCGACGCUACAAAACAUGCGUGACUGAAUCAGCUAAGUUAAAUAACACAACAAUCAUUAUUAUUAAUUUUCUAUGCCCAGUUUCUACAGACAGGAAACUUCUCUAUUAAUUGUUUCUUUGUGUUUUGCGUGUCUGUGUAUGUAGGAGGAAAAAGAAGAAACAAAAAGUUAAAUAAAGAAGGAAAAUCGGAUAAAAACACAUAACUAUCCUAACACGACGAGUGUUUAUUUUACAGAAUAUAACACUAUAUUCUGGUAGACGGAUCUCAACAGAUAUUAGGUCUGCUCUUCACAGUCAUCGAUGUGACAACCUCAGAUCUGUACUAAUAUGGGCCACAAUAAACUUCGCUUUGUGACAACGGUUCGAUCACUAUAAAGAGACGUUCUAUUGUACGUUAUCAGGAGUCUGAGAUAUAUUUUAUAUAUAGGUCUACAUCGGAAACGUUGUGUACGCUUAUAUGAAAUGAAACUCGGACAGUAGACAGUGUCUAAUACAGUAGUUAUAUGGAAAUAUCAGUUUCAUUUGAAAGAUGAAUUCUAUGUCAGUUUCAUGUACAGUUUUCAUAAACCGAAAA